UCUCCGUAGGUGAACCUGCGGAGGGAUCAUUACAGAGUUCAUGCCCUACCGGGUAGAUCUCCCACCCUAUGUUAUUAUUACUUUGCUGCUUUGGCGGGCCGUUAGGCUCCGGCCCGACUACCGGCCCCGGCUGGUAAGCGCCCGCCAGAGGACCCAAAACCCUGAGUAUUAGUGUCGUCUGAGUACUAUAUAAUAGUUAAAACUUUCAACAACGGAUCUCUUGGUUCUG
rnacentral:misc_RNA from 1 species